rnacentral:rRNA from 1 species
GACGAACGCUGGCGGCGUGCCUAAUACAUGCAAGUAGAACGCUGAAGGAGGAGCUUGCUCUUCUGGAUGAGUUGCGAACGGGUGAGUAACGCGUAGGUAACCUGCCUGGUAGCGGGGGAUAACUAUUGGAAACGAUAGCUAAUACCGCAUAAGAGUAGAUGUUGCAUGACAUUUGCUUAAAAGGUGCAAUUGCAUCACUACCAGAUGGACCUGCGUUGUAUUAGCUAGUUGGUGGGGUAACGGCUCACCAAGGCGACGAUACAUAGCCGACCUGGGAGGGUGAUCGGCCACACUGGGACUGAGACACGGCCUAGACUCCUACGGGAGGCAGCAGUAGGGAAUCUUCGGCAAUGGACGGAAGUCUGACCGAGCAACGCCGCGUGAGUGAAGAAGGUUUUCGGAUCGUAAAGCUCUGUUGUAAGAGAAGAACGAGUGUGAGAGUGGAAAGUUCACACUGUGACGGUAUCUUACCAGAAAGGGACGGCUAACUACGUG